AGAGUUUGAUCCUGGCUCAGAACGAACGCUGGCGGCGUGGAUAAGACAUGCAAGUCGAGCGCUGAUUACAGGGUAGCAAUAUUCUGUAGUCGGAGCGGCGCAAGGGUGCGUAACACGUGGGUAAUCUGCCAUGAAGUUUGGAAUAACUCGCUGAAAGGCGAGCUAAUGCCGGAUGUGAAAGCUGGGAGGCAUCUCUCGGUUUUCAAAGCUGGGGACCGUAAGGCCUGGCGCUUCAUGAUGAGCCCGCGGCCUAUCAGCUAGUUGGUAAGGUAACGGCUUACCAAGGCUAAGACGGGUAGCUGGUCUGAGAGGACGACCAGCCACACUGGAACUGAGACACGGUCCAGACACCUACGGGUGGCAGCAGUCGAGAAUUUUUCACAAUGGGCGCAAGCCUGAUGGAGCGACGCCGCGUGGGGGAUGAAUGGCUUCGGCCCGUAAACCCCUGUCAUUUGCGAACAAACCUUGACCGCUAACACCGGUCGAGCUGAUUGUAGCGAAAGAGGAAGGGACGGCUAACUCUGUGCCAGCAGCCGCGGUAAUACAGAGGUCCCAAGCGUUGUUCGGAUUCACUGGGCGUAAAGGGUGCGCAGGUGGUCGAGUAAGUCUGAUGUGAAAUCCCGCAGCUUAACUGCGGAAUGGCAUUGGAUACUAUUCGGCUAGAGGGUUGGAGGGGGGACUGGAAUUCUCGGUGUAGCAGUGAAAUGCGUAGAUAUCGAGAGGAACACCAGUGGCGAAGGCGAGUCCCUGGACAACUCCUGACGCUGAGGCACGAAAGCUAGGGGAGCAAACAGGAUUAGAUACCCUAGUAGUCC
rnacentral:rRNA from 1 species